CACUUCUUUUCCGUGUAUCA
rnacentral:snRNA from 1 species